AUUGAACGCUGGCGGCAGGCUUAACACAUGCAAGUCGAGCGGAGAUGAGGUGCUUGCACCUUAUCUUAGCGGCGGACGGGUGAGUAAUGCUUAGGAAUCUGCCUAUUAGUGGGGGACAACAUUCCGAAAGGAAUGCUAAUACCGCAUACGCUCUACGGGGAAAGCAGGGGAUCUUCGGACCUUGCGCUAAUAGAUGAGCCUAAGUCGGAUUAGCUAGUUGGUGGGGUAAAGGCCUACCAAGGCGACGAUCUGUAGCGGGUCUGAGAGGAUGAUCCGCCACACUGGGACUGAGACACGGCCCAGACUCCUACGGGAGGCAGCAGUGGGGAAUUUUGGACAAUGGGGGCAACCCUGAUCCAGCCAUGCCGCGUGAGUGAAGAAGGCCUUCGGGUUGUAAAGCUCUUUCGGCCGGGAAGAAAUCGCACAGGCCAAUACUCUGUGUGGAUGACGGUACCGGCAUAAGAAGCACCGGCUAACUACGUGCCAGCAGCCGCGGUAACAC
rnacentral:rRNA from 1 species